CUCUUUCGUUAUUAAGUUUCAAAUUUAUUUCCAGGUGUUCCGUAUGAGCCCUGAAUAGAAGACAUGCACUUUCCAAGCUGUUCAGGCCGCGGACAUAAGCCGGUUUUGAAGCUCUGCCGUCAUCUGGCUUUGAUUUGUUUCCGAGGUGACAGCACUGGAUUAACCAUAUAUAACAUACUAUCACAACUGAUCCGUGCACAGCCCGCUUUUAUCUCCUCCUCGGAUUCCGUCAGGCGUUGCCUCAGCACUGCGAUCAUCUCCACGGCCACGUCCACCUGUCUAUUCAGGGCCUG